GACGAACGCUGGCGGCGUGCCUAAUACAUGCAAGUAGAACGCUGAAGGAGGAGCUUGCUUCUCCGGAUGAGUUGCGAACGGGUGAGUAACGCGUAGGUAACCUGCCUGGUAGCGGGGGAUAACUAUUGGAAACGAUAGCUAAUACCGCAUAAGAGUAGAUGUCGCAUGACAUUUGCUUAAAAGGUGCAACUGCACCACUACCAGAUGGACCUGCGUUGUAUUAGCUAGUUGGUGAGGUAACGGCUCACCAAGGCAACGAUACAUAGCCGACCUGAGAGGGUGAUCGGCCACGCUGGGACGGAGACACGGCCCAGACUCCUACGGGAGGCAGCAGUAGGGAAUCUUCGGCAAUGGACGGAAGUCUGACCGAGCAACGCCGCGUGAGUGAAGAAGGUUUUCGGAUCGUAAAGGUCUGUUGUAAGAGAAGAACGAGUGUGAGAGUGGAAAGUUCACACUGUGACGGUAUCUGACCAGAAAGGGACGGCUAACUACGUG
rnacentral:rRNA from 1 species